rnacentral:rRNA from 1 species
GACGAACGCUGGCGGCGUGCCUAAUACAUGCAAGUCGAACGAGAGCACCCGGUGCUUGCACUGGUCAAUCUAGUGGCGAACGGGUGAGUAACACGUGGGUAACCUGCCCAUCAGAGGGGGAUAACAUCCGGAAACGGAUGCUAAAACCGCAUAGGUCUUCGAACCGCAUGGUUUGAAGAGGAAAAGAGGCGCAAGCUUCUGCUGAUGGAUGGACCCGCGGUGCAUUAGCUAGUUGGUGAGGUAACGGCUCACCAAGGCCGUGAUGCAUAGCCGACCUGAGAGGGUGAUCGGCCACAUUGGGACUGAGACACGGCCCAAACUCCUACGGGAGGCAGCAGUAGGGAAUCUUCCGCAAUGGACGCAAGUCUGACGGAGCAACGCCGCGUGAGUGAAGAAGGUUUUCGGAUCGUAAAACUCUGUUGUUAGAGAAGAACAAGUGCUAGAGUAACUGUUAGCGCCUUGACGGUAUCUAGCCAGAAAGCCACGGCUAACUACGUG